UAAAAAAUAUGCUAUUAAACAAAUUAUGUACCCAAUUAUAUUGGUCUGUUGAUAAUUAUUAGUACGAUCCUUUAGGUGAGGAAACUAGAUGAAACUUACUUGGAAUUAUAAUAACCAUAUCUUUUUUAUCAGGUAUGCACCAAAACGAAAAAAACAAUUUCUUUAUUCAAAGGGAGCUAAACAUCAACAUGAUUAUUGAACAUUUUUAUUUAUUGGUAUUACUGUGCUAAGGCAUAUACUAAGGCAAUUUUUACUAAAAGUACAAAACUGCGCGCGCCACAGACUUUAGAAAUGUUUGUUUUAGUUCGAUAAUGAUGUUAUGAUUAUAAUGUAUACUUUUAUAUAAUAAUAAUACUUGUAAAAAUAAGACUAUCGUCACUGAAUAGACAAUUUACUUUAUUACAUUUAUAAAACAACAUUUAAAGAAAUGUAUUCACGUUUUUCAUUUAUAUAUUUCUGACGUAUGCUAUCAUACAAGUGUUUGUACUAAUUUCAUAUAAGCACACAACGUCUUAGUGGCCAACUGUCGCUCUAUUACCUAGUCGCUAUAGAUAGACACAGAUGAUUUCGUAUCUCACUAACACUAACACCAAGGUGACCAGACGAACAGAAACAACGGCCGCCCAUCAGCCAAAAGACACACUAGAAGUGAGUAAAUAAUGUCAUGGCAAACGUGAAGUAUUCACACACUCGUAACUAGUAACAAUGCCAAUAACCGGAAUUGCACUUACUGAAACAAGAUUUCAAAAUUAUUUAAAAAUUACUUUAAUUCGUAUAGUUGUUUUAAAAUUGUCACGCAAUUACACAUCGAGUCCUACAUUAUGGGUAUAUUAGAUUAUUUUUGAAGAUUGUAAAAGGUAUGCAGAAAAGAUUCCUAGUAUAAUUUUUAUUUUUUACGCGGCAACAACUGUUCCAUGCAUCGUUCUACGGUUAGCUAGGGUAGGUGCCGAUUAGGAUCACUAACUGAGUCGAACUGGCCAUGUGCGAACUACACUGUGAUCUCGGGAACAACAGGAUAUAUAUAAUAUGCUGAUUGCAGAGACGCAGACGAUACGUAAUUUGUUUUAGUUUUUAUCUAUUUUAUUAUUGUCUUGACCAUUUUUAUCGAUAUGCGAAAAUAAAUUUGGAGAC
rnacentral:misc_RNA from 1 species